UGUGGUUUAAUUCGAAGCAACGCGCAGAACCUUACCUACCCUUGACAUCCCGGUUUCGGUAUCCAGAGAUGGUGUCCAUCAGUUCGGCUGGUCCGGUGACAGGUGCUGCAUGGCUGUCGUCAGCUCGUGUCGUGAGAUGUUGGGUUAAGUCCCGCAACGAGCGCAACCCUCAUCCUUAGUUGCCAUCACGUUUGGGUGGGCACUCUAAGGAAACUGCCGGUGGUAAGCCGGAGGAAGGUGGGGAUGACGUCAAGUCCUCAUGGCCCUUACGGGUAGGGCUACACACGUGCUACAAUGGCAGUGACAAUGGGAUAAUCCCAAAAAGCUGUCUCAGUUCAGAUUGUCCUCUGCAACUCGAGGGCAUGAAGGUGGAAUCGCUAGUAAUCGUGGAUCAGCAUGCCACGGUGAAUACGUUCCCGGGCCUUGUACACACCGCCCGUCACAUCAUGGGAAUUGGUUCUACCCGAAGACGGUGAGCUAACUUCGGAGGCAGCCGGCCACGGUAGGAUCAGUGACUGGGAUG
rnacentral:rRNA from 1 species